rnacentral:rRNA from 1 species
GUGUCAGCAGCCGCGGUAAUACGAAGGGUGCUAGCGUUGUUCGGAAUCACUGGGCGUAAAGCGCGCGUAGGCGGCUUUUCAAGUCAGGGGUGAAAUCCCACAGCUUAACUGUGGAACUGCCUUUGAAACUGUAAAGCUGGAAUGCAAGAGGGGAUAGCGGAAUUGCUAAUGUAGAGGUGAAAUUCGUAGAUAUUAGCAGGAACACCGGUGGCGAAGGCGGCUAUCUGGAUUGCAAUUGACGCUGAGGCGCGAAAGCAUGGGGAUCAAACAGGAUUAGAUACCCCUGUAGUCC